CUGACCCAAAGUUAAUAGUCGAUACAGUGUUUCAAGUUGGUUGCAGACAGGCCAUGCAUAGUCAAUGUAAUUUACAGGAUUUUCUAUUUUUAUCAGGAUAUUUUCUACCUGCAGGCUGCAUUGUUUUAUUUGUUGGCUUUAUGUAGAUUAUUUUUACAUCGGAGAUACUUUUUUAGGUUUGUAUCAUUUUCAUUUAGAUUUGGAUAGAAUGUUGAUUAACCACAUGCCAAUGAUUGAGAGAUAUCAAGACCUUAUUGUAAAUGAAUAAAACUGUUUCAUGAAAACCAUAACAGGCAGAUCUGUAGAAAUGGUAAGAUACAUUGUCAUUCCACAUGAGAAAGGUGGCCGACUCCUCGUGUAGCCUGUUUACCGGCAACUUCAGGAGAGUAAUGGAAGGUUAUGUGGAAGCCAGCAGGAGAGUAAUGGAAGGUUGUGUGGAAGCCAGUAGGAGAGUAAUGGAAGGAGAUGUGAAAGCCAGUAGGAGAGUAAUGGAAGGAGAUGUGAAAGCCAGUAGGAGAGUAAUGGAAGGAGAUGUGGAAGCCAGUAGGAGAGUAAUGGAAGGUUGUGUGAAAGCCAGUAGGAGAGUAAUGGAAGGAGAUGUGAAAGCCAGUAGGAGAGUAAUGGAAGGAGAUGUGAAAGCCAGUAGGAGAGUAAUGGAAGGAGAUGUGGAAGCCAGUAGGAGAGUAAUGGAAGGUUGUGUGAAAGCCAGUAGGAGAGUAAUGGAAGGAGAUGUGAAAGCCAGUAGGAG